rnacentral:rRNA from 1 species
UACGGGGGGAGCAAGCGUUGUUCGGAUUUACUGGGCGUAAAGGGCGCGUAGGCGGUCAGCACAAGUCAGUUGUGAAAUCUCCGGGCUUAACCCGGAAAGGUCAACUGAUACUGUGCGACUAGAGUGCGGAAGGGGCAACUGGAAUUCUCGGUGUAGCGGUGAAAUGCGUAGAUAUCGAGAGGAACACCUGCGGCGAAGGCGGGUUGCUGGGCUGACACUGACGCUGAUGCGCGAAAGCCAGGGGAGCGAACAGG